GACGAACGCUGGCGGCGUGCUUAACACAUGCAAGUCGAACGGAAAGGCCCCUUUGUGGGUACUCGAGCGGCGAACGGGUGAGUAACACGUGAGUAACCUGCCCUUGACUUCGGGAUAACUUCAGUAAACUGGGGCUAAUACCGGAUAGGAAUCCUUGCUGCAUGGUGGGGGUUGGAAAGCUUUGGCGGUUUUGGAUGGACUCGCGGCCUAUCAGCUUGUUGGUGGGGUAGUGGCUUACCAAGGCUUUGACGGGUAGCCGGCCUGAGAGGGCGACCGGCCACAUUGGGACUGAGAUACGGCCCAGACUCCUACGGGAGGCAGCAGUGGGGAAUAUUGCACCAUGGGCGGAAGCCUGAUGCAGCAACGCCGCGUGCGGGAUGACGGCCUUCGGGUUGUAAACCGCUUUCAGCAGGGGCGAAGCUUGUGGUGACGGUACCUGCAGAAGAAGCACCGGCUAACUACGUG
rnacentral:rRNA from 1 species